GACGAACGCUGGCGGCGUGCUUAACACAUGCAAGUCGGACGGUAAGGCCCUUUCGGGGGUACACGAGUGGCGAACGGGUGAGUAACACGUGAGUAACCUGCCCACAACUUUGGGAUAACGCUAGGAAACUGGUGCUAAUACUGGAUAUGUGCCCCUGCUGCAUGGUGGGGGUUGGAAAGCUCCGGCGGUUGUGGAUGGACUCGCGGCCUAUCAGCUUGUUGGUGGGGUAGUGGCCUACCAAGGCGGCGACGGGUAGCCGGCCUGAGAGGGUGACCGGCCACAUUGGGACUGAGAUACGGCCCAGGCUCCUACGGGAGGCAGCAGUGGGGAAUAUUGCACAAUGGGCGCAAGCCUGAUGCAGCAACGCCGCGUGCGGGAUGACGGCCUUCGGGUUGUAAACCGCUUUCAGCAGGGACGAAGCUUUUUGUGACGGUACCUGCAGAAGAAGCACCGGCUAACUACGUG
rnacentral:rRNA from 1 species